UUCGUUUGGAGUCCCAGUAGCAAGUCUCUUUCCCGGAUCUGACCCACGAAUAUCAACCCACUGUUUCCUCGAAGAAAGUUGACGCUGGCAGUUACCUCAGCCGCCUAUGCACGCCGACCAUCGAACCCCACCGACCAGAAUAUCAGAUCGCAGCAAGGCGGCGUACAGGAGUGAGACGGAUUGGCUGCUUGAUUGGUGUUGCAACAACCACCUUGCACUCAACCUCAGCAAAGCCUAAGAAUUGAUUGUGGGACCUCAGGAAGGGGCAGCUGGGAGAACACACACCAGUUCUCAUUGAGGGGUCAUCAGUUUCUGAGUCAACAUCUCAGAAGAUCUAUCCUCAGUCCAACGCAUUGGUGCAAUCACAAAGAAGGUACACCAGUGGCUAUAUCUCAUCAUUAGGAGUCUGAGGAUAUUUGGAAUGUUACCAAAAACUUUAGCCAAUUUCUACAGGUGUACAGUGGAGUGUAUUCUGACUGGUUGUAUCAGCCCCUGGUAUGGAGAUCAAAGGAGGCUGCAGAGGGUUGUAGAGUCUGCCAGCUCCAUCAUGGCCACAAGCCUCCUCACCCUCAAAUGCAUCUUCAAAAGUCCGUGUGUCAAGAAGGCAGCAUCCAUCGUUAAGGACCCUCACCAUCCAGGAUAUGCUGUCUUCUCAUUACUACCAUCAGAUCUGAAACUCGCUACUGUCAUUCCUUCACAUGACAUCUUCCUCCAUGUCCAUAGGCAGAUCUCAUCUACGAAUCAUACAGAGACAGGAAACUGACCCAAGCUGAAGUUCAGUCAGAAUAUUCUGAGAGAACUGAACUGAAUCCAGCUGGAGUUUGACCCGCCAUUCACUGUCAGUGGGAUGAUGAGCACAGUGGGAAACUGCAGCGCAGAUCAACAGUUCCAGUAUCACACUAUGAGGAUUAGAGAAGUGGACUUCUCUCCAGAAAGUGAAUAGCGUCCUUGUCUCAGGCUGGGUGGAAUCCAGAAAGAAAGACUGCAUCAUUAAGAACUUCUAGGGAAAUGAUGGACCUUUUUCCAAUGGCUCCUUUCUGAUGGUUAGGAGCAGGAGAAGGAAGAAAGGUCCCAGGAGAAAGUGUAUCUUAACCCUUUGUAUUUUGUUUGGAUCUUUCAACAUGUGGAGAGGAUGUGAUCUGCUUUCAAUCCACGUCAACCAAAUAUGGAGAAAUUCAUGUGUGA